rnacentral:lncRNA from 1 species
AUGGUGUAGACAACGUACAUUCUGCGUUUUACAAUUCUUCUUCACACGAAUACUUAGUAAAUUUACAAAUUUUGUACACAAUUUGACACACCCUUUUCUAACACUAAGACCUUAUAUUUAUAUUGGAUCGAAAUAACUGCUUUGAUGGUUCUUCAAUCACGUCGAGACACAUGGUGCCUUGCAUGCGCGCAUUCAUUCACCAUGUUCCACGUGUGCUCUUACGGUUU